GACGAACGCUGGCGGCGUGCUUAACACAUGCAAGUCGAACGGAAAGGCCCUGCUUUUGUGGGGUGUUCGAGUGGCGAACGGGUGAGUAACACGUGAGUAACCUGCCCUUGACUUUGGGAUAACUUCAGGAAACUGGGGCUAAUACCGGAUAGGAGCUCCUGCUGCAUGGUGGGGGUUGGAAAGUUUCGGCGGUUGGGGAUGGACUCGCGGCUUAUCAGCUUGUUGGUGGGGUAGUGGCUUACCAAGGCUUUGCCGGGUAGCCGGCCUGAGAGGGUGACCGGCCACAUUGGGACUGAGAGACGGCCCAGACUCCUACGGGAGGCAGCAGUGGGGAAUAUUACACAGUGGGCGGAAGCCUGAUGCAGCAACGCCGCGUGCGGGAUGACGGCCUUCGGGUUAUAAACCGCUUUCGCCUGUGACGAAGCGUGAGUGACGGUAAUGGGUAAAGAAGCACCGGCUAACUACGUG
rnacentral:rRNA from 1 species